rnacentral:rRNA from 1 species
UGCGGAAGGAUCAUUACCGAGUGCGGGUCCUUUGGGCCCAACCUCCCAUCCGUGUCUAUUGUNCCCUGUUGCUUCGGCGGGCCCGCCGCUUGUCGGCCGCCGGGGGGGCGCCUCUGCCCCCCGGGCCCGUGCCCGCCGGAGACCCCAACACGAACACUGUCUGAAAGCGUGCAGUCUGAGUUGAUUGAAUGCAAUCAGUUAAAACUUUCAACAAUGGAUCUCUUGGUUCCGGCAUCGAUGAAGAACGCAGCGAAAUGCGAUAACUAAUGUGAAUUGCAGAAUUCAGUGAAUCAUCGAGUCUUUGAACGCACAUUGCGCCCCCUGGUAUUCCGGGGGGCAUGCCUGUCCGAGCGUCAUUGCUGCCCUCAAGCCCGGCUUGUGUGUUGGGUCGCCGUCCCCCUCUCCGGGGGGACGGGCCCGAAAGGCAGCGGCGGCACCGCGUCCGAUCCUCGAGCGUAUGGGGCUUUGUCACAUGCUCUGUAGGAUUGGCCGGCGCCUGCCGACGUUUUCCAACCAUUCUUUCC